AUGCCCCCGUGUUCUCAGCUUCCUCCCUCUGAGGGCUUCUUCCCAUCACCGCGUGUCUCUGCUCAAGUCCCCUCCAUCUGCAAACAGAGGUUCCCGCCACCCCUCCUACUUCUCCCUCUUUCUCUCUCUCUCUCCUUCCCUCCGCAGCCACGUUCUUGAAAGCUGUCUCGUCUCUGCCUCCACUUCCUCCCUGCACACCCACUCCGCAACCCUCUCCGUACAGAAGCUGCCUCACUUCUGCCGUGAAACUGCUUUCACUGAGACCGGCUGCCAUGUUCAGACAAAGACACAUAAAUCUGUGAAGAAUUGACAGGACCAAAAAAAAAAACCAAAGAAAAAUGUUUGGGAGCUUCAAUUAGUAAAGAGUUCUGCACAAAAUCUGGGUAAAAAUAACAAGUUCCCUUCUAUUUAUGAUAAAGGAUUCCUGGUUUCCAUUCGUGAUGAUGACAAUGUUUCUUUUUUAAAAUAAAAUGACUCAAAUAAAACAAGUAAGUCCAUAUGAAA